rnacentral:rRNA from 1 species
GGCAGAGGACAGACGCGUGGGGGAGGAGGUUCUUGGGUUGUAACCCCUUUUCUCAGAGAAGAACACAAUGACGGUAUCUGAUGAAUCACCCUCGGCUAACUCCGUGCCAGCAGCCGCGGUAAUACGGAGGAGGCAAGCGUUAUCCGGAAUUAUUGGGCGUAAAGCGUCCGUAGGUGGCAGUUCAAGUCCAUUGUCAAAGCGUGGAGCUUAACUCCGUAAAGGCAGUGGAAACUGAAUCGCUGGAGUGCGACAGGGGCAAGGGGAAUUCCUAGUGUAUCGGUGAAAUGCGUAUAGAUUGGGAAGAACACCGGUGGCGAAAGCGCCUUGCUGGGUCUGCACUGACACUGAUGGACGAAAGCUAGGGGAGCG